AUCCAGCUGAUGAGACCGAUAUAGGACGAAACACGCUUGCUGGAU
rnacentral:hammerhead_ribozyme from 1 species